AGAGUUAACAUUAUUUUCCUCUAAAAGAGUCAUUUUCACUCAUUUUGGAUUGUAAUCAUUUCGAUUGGCCGCCAGAGUUGGAGCAAAAAAACAGAGGAAAUUCCAUUGGAGUAAUAUGUCAUGACCACGCCCACUACCAUUUCCUAAGUUUCUGCUACUAUCCCGCAGUGGAACAUAGACAACUGUCAGCAGUGAGCCAGGAUGCAAGCUGUGCAAGUGAAGUGCAGAGAACAACAGAAGUACAUCUGUUUUGAGGGCCAACUGACCUACAGAUCAUUUUUCGAAUGUGUUGCCAAGAAGUUCAUCAUCCCAAACAUAUGGCUUCCCUAAGAUACUUGAUCCAAUUGUGAAGGAUAUGAAAAUCCUGGAGAGGGAUGGAAUUACGAUUGCCCUGUAUGAUGACCCAGUACAUGGAACUAUUGUCCAAGUUACUACUGACAACUUUGGUCUUCACUGUCUGUUUGGUUUUCUAGAGUCAUUUAGUACCAGAUAUUGUUGCCACCUUUGUCUUGCUGAGAAGGAGGACUUUCAGACAGAGUUUACAGAGGAUUCACCCAAGAUAAUCAUGCGAACUCAAGCACUUCAUACUGAACAUUGCCAAAAAAUGGAGGCAAAUCCCUGACUUCCUAAUGCGAUGGGUGUUAAACAGUCUUGCAUUCUAAACUCAUUGCAGUACUUCAAUACAUGUGAACAUUUCUCUGUUGAUAUUAUGCACGAUAU